AGAACGAACGCUGGCGGCAUGCCUAACACAUGCAAGUCGAACGUGAUCCAGGCUUCGGCCUGGUGAAAGUGGCAGACGGGUGAGUAACGCGUGGGAACCUGCCCUGUGGUAGGGAAUAACCGUGGGAAACUGCGGCUAAUACCCUAUGAGUCCUUCGGGAGAAAGAUUUAUCGCCAUAGGAGGGGCCCGCGUCGGAUUAGGUAGUUGGUGGGGUAACGGCCUACCAAGCCUUCGAUCCGUAGCUGGUCUGAGAGGAUGAUCAGCCACACUGGGACUGAGAUACGGCCCAGACUCCUACGGGAGGCAGCAGUGGGGAAUAUUGGACAAUGGGGGCAACCCUGAUCCAGCAAUGCCGCGUGGAUGAUGAAGGCCUUCGGGUUGUAAAGUCCUUUCGGCGGGGAAGAUGAUGACGGUACCGCAGAAGAAGCCCGGCUAACUCGUGCCAGCAGCCGC
rnacentral:rRNA from 1 species